rnacentral:tRNA from 2 species
GUCCACAUAGCUUACCACAAAA